UGGGGAAUAUUGCACAAUGGGCGCAAGCCUGAUGCAGCCAUGCCGCGUGUAUGAAGAAGGCCUUCGGGUUGUAAAGUACUUUCAGCGGGGAGGAAGGGAGUAAAGUUAAUACCUUUGCUCAUUGACGUUACCCGCAGAAGAAGCACCGGCUAACUCCGUGCCAGCAGCCGCGGUAAUACGGAGGGUGCAAGCGUUAAUCGGAAUUACUGGGCGUAAAGCGCACGCAGGCGGUUUGUUAAGUCGGAUGUGAAAUCCCCGGGCUCAACCUGGGAACUGCAUUCGAAACUGGCAGGGUAGAGUCUUGUAGAGGGGGGUAGAAUUCCAGGUGUAGCGGUGAAAUGCGUAGAGAUCUGGAGGAAUACCGGUGGCGAAGGCGGCCCCCUGGACAAAGACUGACGCUCAGGUGCGAAAGCGUGGGGAGCAAACAGG
rnacentral:rRNA from 1 species